GAGAGUGGCCCUGGAGUCCAGAAGCCAUGGUGAUGGGCGUCUGAACAAGCCUUGACGUGCUGGUGCUGCGCUACGAGCGUGCAGAAGGCGCAUCUACUGCAACGCAUUGGCCCUGCGGUCCCACCACUUCCAGAAGGUGGGAAAGAAGCCGGAGCUCACGCUGGUCUGGGAGCCUGAGGACAUGGAGCAGGAGCCAGCACAGCAGGUCAUCACCAUCUUCAGCCUGGUGGAGGUGGUCCUGCAGGCAGAGUCCACAGCCCUCAAGUACAGCGCCAUCCUGAAGCGGCCAGACACCCACGGCCACCUGGGCCCUGAGAAGGAGGAGGAGGAGGAGGAGGAGUCUGAUGGUGAGCCCGAGGACUCAAGCACCAGCUGAGCUCUGCCAGCCGCCUGCCCCACCUGCCUGUCCUGCCACACUGGCUUUAGGAACAGGACCUAUUGACACAGAGGGGGAUUUUUACUUUGGUUUUUAACAACUCAGGGGUUUGUUUUUACUUUUAUUUAAUUUUUACAGCUCAACUUUUAAACAACCUGCAGGGGAGAGGGUGGGGCUGGAAGGAAGGCUGAGGCCUGGUCGGCAGUGACCCCAGCAGAGCGGGCCCCAGUCCUCCUGGGAGGCCGGCCCCCCUUUUUUCUGGGCCCUACUGCCCUCCUCUGCCCAGGAAAUGGGGGGUUUCUGCAAAUCAGUGUCACAGAAUAAAAUCAAGUGUGGAGUGCCA